GCUGUUUGGGGGGAAGGGGGCAGCUUUGUCAAGAGAAAAGGGCAGUGGAGGGAGUGGGGUGGGGUGGGGUGGGGUUAGGGGUGGGAAAGGCCGAAAGACAGUGGAGGGGAGCAGGAGUAGGGGUGUUCGCAGUUUGGGUUGGUGUGGUUUGGAAUGUAACUGUAACACCCCAAUUUUUGAAACAGUUUAUUAUUUAUUUUAUUAACUAUAUUAUAUAUUUUAGUUUAUUUAAUAAUUGAAUUCAUUUAUCUUUAGGAAUUAUUUUGUAAAUAAUUUAUAUGCUUAAAGUGGGACAAGUUUAGUAAGUAAUUUAACUAAUAAUAGUAAUAAGAGGAAAUAUACUCACAUAUAUGUAAGAAGGGGGAAAAGGGAAAAAUAAAACAAGAAAAGAAAAAGGAAAGAAAAAAAAAAUAACAAAACAAAAGAACGACAUUCAUGACGGUGCUUCACCACCGUUCAACAUCUUCACCAUCUUCUUCUCUCAAAAUAUUUGACAUUCUUCCUUCAUCACACAACCACCACCGUUGCCGAUGACACAACCCCAAACGCCACUAGAGGUGACACCAUAGAAGUAGGCGGCGCAAGGGAAAGCAAAGGGGGUCGUUGUUGCUGUAAUUUGGAGCAUUUAGUGCUCGAAUUAAGGGAGUUUGCAAGUUAUUUUUCAUCCCCAAUCUUCUAUAUUAGUGGAUUCCGGUUACAUUGAGGAGCCGUAUUGACUGAGCUAGUUGGUUUGAUAUAGUUUAAAAGGUACAUGAAGGCUUUGAGUCGGGGUAUGGGCGGAGAGCAACGUCCACUAGUUUUGCGUAAAUAUAGUUAUAAUAGUUUUGUUCUGGUGCAUUUCUUAUAUAUAAUCAAUAUUUUGAGACUUAGGGUUGUAAAUAUUAAUCCACCUAAAUCUUUAUUCGGUUGGGUUGUAAUAGUUUAAAAUAAGCUUUAAUUUAGUUUUGGUGCAGGUAGUUCUUCCUUAGCGAUUAUUCUCGUAAUAAUCGUGGAAUAACACGUUUGGAUUUCGAGUAGUUAUACAGGAAUUUCGUUGGUAUUUGAAA